UCUCCCUCCCUCUACCGCGGGUCGUCUCCCUCUCUCUCCUUCUCUUUCUCUCUUUCUCUGACUGACUGAACAAGCGUCUUAUCAGCCUGACCGACACGAGUCUCGGUGAGAUUUGAGUGUUAAAGCAUGUGUGGAAGCUGCGUGAAGUCUGGAAGCAGGGCCACUCGGAGCUGAAUAGACACAGCGCUGAAGCUCAGACUCAGCUAAGCAACGGCCGGGGCCAGGAAUGCUGACCUUGGCGAGUGAACCGGGCCAAACGCUGAGCGCAUCAACACUUGGUAGCAGCACAUGGCGGGACAGCUGUUGCAGGCCAAAGCGGGCAUCUGUGCACAGAGAGACAGAGAUAUGGAGCGGGCGAGAGGAAGAGGUGUGGACAUCUGUAGCCAGGGAUUGACAAACGCUUGGAUGGAUGAAGAAGAGAGAUGAGAUGAGACGAGAAGGAAAAAGAGAGGAAAGUUGGACUGGGACGAGGGAGCAGGAUUAUUUGAACAGAUGACAGGGAUGUGCUAACGUGAGGGAGAAAGAGAUCGCUGAAGGAUUGAAGAAAGAUGAAGCGAGUCUAUGUGGUAUAUGCUGAAUAUCAGUCCCAGCAUUAUAAAUUAGCAUUUUAAUUCAAUAAUCGGUUGCUAGGGUGUUUUGUUAGGUUGCUAAUGUAGGUCAAAAUAGCCCACUGACACAAUCUUCUGCCCUUGAACACAAAAGUUCACGUUUUUAUUUUAUAGCCAGAGGGAAAAUCAGUCAGACUUUCACAUGAUUUAAGGAAUUACAUUGUUUCAGAUUAUUAACCCUUAUAACAGUUCUUGAUGGUUCUUCAAUUAUUUUUAUAGGCCAUUCACAAAGAUUGUGUUGUGUUUAAAACACAAGUUAAGACCAUUAAAGUGAAAAAGAGAUAAGCUUCUUUAACCCUUGUGUGCUAUUGGGGAUGUUUUCAUCCACUCUCGGCUGAUUUUGAGGCUUAAAUUGACCACAACUUUCAGCAAAUGGAAUGAUUUUUGGUGACAUCUUAUUUUGACACAUAUUUUGGGAAAAUAUUUGAAAAUUAAAAAUAAAAAUAAAAAUCAAUACACUCUGGGCAAAUUUA